ensembl:lncRNA
GUGAUCUGGAAGUUCUAGAUGUUUCUUCGUGGUGAUUUGGCAGAGAGAGAGCCAAAUGCUGUUUGUAUAGAUGCAAACGAAACACAGAUCUGUGUUUCGCCAACAGGAAAAACGCCAAAACCCGCCUGAGCAGUCGCUAUGGAUUCCAAGUCCGGCCGACUCCCCUUCGUGUCGAGCUCCCGCUCGUCCUACACCAGCCCUUCCUCCUACUCAGCCUCCUCUUCCUCGCUGAGCUCCAGCAGGCUGUAUGGGCGAGAGAGGUUGCUGAGUAGUGACCGCUUCCCUCGCUCCACCACAUCGCUCAAGCCAGAGCCGGACCUCAAGGGCUCGCGGUACCUGAGCUCCAGCAGAGAGUAUGGCGGGGGGACCGCCUCCACCCGGGCCCCCAGCUGGAAGGUGCCCUCGUCCCUGAGCGCCACCACCUCGUCGUAUGAGAGGCCCUGGGCCAGCCCCUCGCUCCUCAGCCAGGACAAGCUGAGCUCGGAGCGGCGGCUGGGCUCGUACUCCGGCCUGCUGGCCUCUGACGACGGAGAGUCCAAGCGCGCCAAGCUCUCCUACAGCAGCAGCACUGCAGCGUAUCCCCGGAGCAGCCUGGGCUCCUCCACUACCCCCGGGUCCCUGUACUCCAGCAGCAGGCUGACCAGUAGCACAGAUUCUAGUGACCGGACAGACGCCGCUCUCCGGCGCUCCACUGGUCUCUCCGCUGGCCUCUCCUCCUCCAGACCUUCAUCGACCUCCUCCUCCUCCUCAUCGUGGUCUUCCUCGCCCAGCUACCUGUCGGCCCGGCGGGACGCGGAGAGGAGGGCGGAGCUCCGGUCCGAGCUGACGGA